rnacentral:rRNA from 1 species
UGGGGAAUUUGGACAAUGGGCGAAAGCCUGAUCCAGCAAUGCCGCGUGUGUGAAGAAGGCCUUCGGGUUGUAAAGCACUUUUGUCCGGAAAGAAAUCCUUGGCUCUAAUACAGUCGGGGGAUGACGGUACCGGAAGAAUAAGCACCGGCUAACUACGUGCCAGCAGCCGCGGUAAUACGUAGGGUGCAAGCGUUAAUCGGAAUUACUGGGCGUAAAGCGUGCGCAGGCGGUUUGCUAAGACCGAUGUGAAAUCCCCGGGCUCAACCUGGGAACUGCAUUGGUGACUGGCAGGCUAGAGUAUGGCAGAGGGGGGUAGAAUUCCACGUNUAGCAGUGAAAUGCGUAGAGAUGUGGAGGAAUNCCGAUGGNGAAGCNGCCCCCUGGGCAAUACUGACGCUCAUGCACGAAAAGCGUGGGGAGCAAACAGGAUUAGAUACCCUGGUAGUCACGCCCUAAACGAUGUCACUAGUUGUU